UAUGCAUCUCUCUCUCUCUCUCUCUCUCUCUCUCUCUCUCUCUUUCUCUCUCUCUCAAACAAAACAGCAUGGUAACUUAUCAGUUUUUGGAAUAUGCAAUAGUUAAGAUUAAAGGCCAAAGUUUUCAACCGGUAGGUUUUCCUCAGGUAAGUUUGGUGUGGGGUGGAGCUUAAUCGAAGCGGCUGAGAAGCCCCCAGGGAACGACACUGGCUUGUGUAAAGCUACCUAUAUACACAGGGUGUUUCCUGAGUGUAUUACCUGUAUGCGUUUUCCUACUAAAUUGCAAAAACGAAGCUGUUUUUUCAAUGUGUAGGUCAAUUGAAAUACAUGAAAUAAAGCAUGUUUUUGUUGCGGACAGAAUCCUUCUCAAUUUCUUAAAAUUAACAUUCUUAGUCAUUCCGCAAUUUCAAUAUACUGUGUUUGUUAAUCAAAUGUUAUCACGAAUAUUGCACUAAAAUCGGUCGUUGUAAUAUGGCGGUCGUGUACUCAAAACAAAAAAAGAAAUCGGGUCAUAAAUCUCUCGGUGAAUAACAAUUAAACUUAUAAACGAUGUUGAAGAUAAACUAUUAAGAAAUAUAAUAGUCUAAAUAAAUUUUAUUAAAGAUAAAUCCUUCGUGAUUUUUCCAUAACGCAUGGACUGUAAAAAUCACCAGGGCUUCGGACCUAGGAUUUUCCCCCGACCGCUUUGUAUAUGUGAAACGUGAAUGGAAUCACCUGAAGCGUACUUUUUUCUUUCGGGAUUCAUAAUUUCAAAUACUAAAUGCAAAGCAAAAUGUUAUAAUUCGACUAAUAUUUACCUCCACUGAAUAUUUUCUCCUUUAUUUCUUAAGAAAACCCAUUGCGUUAAUCACUGUAUGAACUACAUUAGGCAUGUCGCCUGUACAGAUUCUUGAUCAGUGGCUGUUCCAUCAAUGAAACGUAUAAAGACGUUCGCAUCAUUAAUACAAUAAUUAAACUUUUUAAUCCUUCUUUAAAUGAUUAUUUAAACAGAUAUAAAUAUAAACAAUAAAAUGUCUUUCUUUGUUUGUUAUUACUGGAAUUAACGGUCGCAGCUAUUGCAGAAAAAGUUUACAGUGUACAUAACCCGCUUACGCGGGUUACGUAUUUUUUCUGCAACAGCUGCUUCCGUUAAUUCCAGUAAUAACAAACAAAGAAAGCAUUUUAUUGUUUAUAUAUCUCUUCUAAAACUGGUGUUACACCGUAUAUCCGGUUUUUUCGCGUGUUGGAAAUUUUUCGAAAAAGGGGUAAAUUAGUACAUCUGUUAUUUUGCGAAAGUUAUUUUUUACGAUUAUUUAAAGAUUUUUUUUCGUUUAAAAUGGUAAUGUUUUAUGUCACAUUUUAGCUGAUAUAAUUUCUGCGUGUUUUAUAUUUUGGGAAUUAAAAAUGGUCGCAAAAAAUGCGAAAAAUAGAUCAUCGCGAAAAAAAAACGGAUCUACGGUAAUACCGUAACUUCAUCACCAUGUCUCGAAGAAAAGCGAAACGUACAGGUUUGUGUUAAAGUUAAAAAUAAAUAUAAAUUUUCACUUGACUCCUGAACAAUGUUGUCAUACUUGUUUUAAAGAAAUAAUUUUAUUUCUUUCCAUGAUACUUCAAACUCGCGUCGGUUUAUUUUGCUAGGUAUGGUGGAAUAAAUGUACGUAAUCUCAUGUUUUGACAAUUAAAUUUAAAAUUAUCGAUUGUAAUAGUGAAAUGCCCCCCCCCCCCCUUUCUAAAAUUAAUAUAAUAAUAUAUAAACAUGAUUUUCUUAUUUAAUCAUUUGACAGAUUGAUUACAUUUAGAGCAUAUUCUCGUGAAUUAAAAAAGAACGUUUUGGUUGUUUAUUUAUCACGUUGGCAUAUGCGGUUAGGCAUCAAAGGCCCAAAUGUUAAUUCGAUAGUCGGUACGAUCCCCAGACAAGGUACACAGGAUAUACACAACGACAAAAAACUAAAUGUCAAUCAAAUCCAAGUAUCCAAUCCCAGGCUUAAUAUUUUAGCGUUUUUUUUAAAAUGUUGGGUGUAAUUGCCGUCAUGGUGGUUCUAUGGCGCCUUGGACGUUUAACUGUGGUCAGAGAAGACAUUCAACGCAGGGUAACAGUGGUCAGAAAGAACAUCGCAAAUAGAUUAACAGACAAUAAUCCUGGCUAUGAUUGUGAUGAAGUAUACGUAUAUGGCCAAAUGGAUUUCAAUAAAACGGACAAUUGGAUAUUAUCGAGUUUCGAAAUUGUUAAUGAGUGGAAGAUUUGCAGACAUCUAUAAAGCCAGAUACCACCACAAAAUAUCAUGUCUAAACAAAUAAUCGUAGCAAAGACUUUGAAAAUUGGUCCAUUCAUGGUUCUAGAAUACUAGGAGAGGAGACAACUUCGAGAUUGGUUGUUACAAAAGAAAAAUGCCUGGGCAGAAGACACAGAGGAACAACUACAUCGUAUUGUCUACGGAAUAUCUAAGGGAAUGGCAUUCCUGGAAUCGAAGAGGGAUCUGUCUUUUUUUAAAAUAAUACUUUAUUCAAUGAAAACAUGAUAACAAGAUAACGUGGGGCAAUGACAUCCGCAGAUGUCCCCCUAUAAUAACCCUCACCAGGGGUGCCAGGGGUUCCCUAGAUUGGAUAGCAAAAUAUAUGUGUUUGAAAAAUGAUUAAACAAUAUUUAAAUCAACAGUGUAUAUAAUAAAAUUGUAUAUUGACAAAAUAUUUAUACAGAUAGAUAAUGAUAGGUUCUGUUUUGAUUGGUGGCCUUUCAUAUACAUGUAUAUAAAUUAUAAACUUAAAAUUAGUAGACCACUAAGUCAGUUAUUUUUACAUAUUUUAGCUUGUGCACAAAAGACUUGCUCCACGAAAUAUUCUGUUGACUGGAGAUCUGUAGCCUAAGAUCUAUGGAUUCGGACCUGAACCACCGCAACAACAGGGCAACGAGGAAGAAAAGGAUGCCACAUCUGACG